rnacentral:lncRNA from 1 species
UUAUUCAAAAUCAUAGAAUUCCUUACUAAUCUUUAAAAUCCUAUUUCUAAAAAUCUAAUUGACUUGAAUUUCUAUAAUCUUUGAUUUAAUCAUUUGAUUAAAUUCAAAUUCACAAAACACUUUCAGUAAAAAUAUGUCUACAAAUCUAAAAAAAUUCACCUAUAGAUCUAUUAUAUAAUUUACACAAAUUACCAAUUUUUUUAUUUUUAAUUUUUAAUUUAACUAAAAAUAAAUUCAUCUAUAACAAUCAUAACUUUGCAAAGCUCUUUCAAAGUCAUUACUCAAUCAAAUCACCUAAAACCAAUGUUUAAAAAAACUCUAUCAAGUUUUCUUUCCAAGUAGAUUCUUUAAUUAAAAAUUAAAUCCAAGUUUGUCUUGUAAGUAAGUAGUUUUGUGCUUCAAGGUUUAUUUUUGACCCUAGUUUGCAACUUGUCUUCUUGAAGUAUUAAUCUAAG